CAGUCGCCACGGUAAUACAGAGGGUGCGAGCGUUAAUCGGAUUUACUGGGCGUAAAGCGUGCGUAGGCGGCUUCUUAAGUCGGAUGUGAAAUCCCUGAGCUUAACUUAGGAAUUGCAUUCGAUACUGGGAAGCUAGAGUAUGGGAGAGGAUGGUAGAAUUCCAGGUGUAGCGGUGAAAUGCGUAGAGAUCUGGAGGAAUACCGAUGGCGAAGGCAGCCAUCUGGCCUAAUACUGACGCUCAUGCACGAAAGCGUGGGGAGCAAACAGGAUUAGAUACCCCUGUAGUCCCUGUCUCUUAUCC
rnacentral:rRNA from 1 species